UACGAAGGGUGCAAGCGUUAAUCGGAAUUACUGGGCGUAAAGCGUGCGCAGGCGGUCUGUUAAGACCGAUGUGAAAUCCCCGGGCUUAACCUGGGAACUGCAUUGGUGACUGGCAGGCUUUGAGUGUGGCAGAGGGAGGUAGAAUUCCACGUGUAGCAGUGAAAUGCGUAGAGAUGUGGAGGAAUACCGAUGGCGAAGGCAGCCUCCUGGGCCAACACUGACGCUCAUGCACGAAAGCGUGGGGAGCAAACGGG
rnacentral:rRNA from 1 species